rnacentral:rRNA from 1 species
UACGGCGAGUGAGCGGCAACAGCUCAAAUUUGAAAUCUGGCGGCCUCUGGGCCGUCCGAGUUGUAAUUUGAAGAGGAUGCUUUUGGCGAGGUGCCUUCCGAGUGCCCUGGAACGGGACGCCACAGAGGGUGAGAGCCCCGUAUGGUUGGACGCCGAGCCUCUGUAAAGCUCCUUCGACGAGUCGAGUAGUUUGGGAAUGCUGCUCAAAAUGGGAGGUAAACCCCUUCUAAAGCUAAAUACUGGCCAGAGACCGAUAGCGCACAAGUAGAGUGAUCGAAAGAUGAAAAGCACUUUGAAAAGAGAGUUAAACAGCACGUGAAAUUGUUGAAAGGGAAGCGCUUGCGACCAGACUUGUGCUCGUCGAAUCAGCCGCCGCUCGUCGGCGGCGCACUUCGGCGGGCUCAGGCCAGCAUCAGUUCGCUGUAGGGGGAGAAAGGCGAUGGGAAUGUGGCUCUUCGGAGUGUUAUAGCCCGCCGCGCAAUACCCCUCGGCGGACUGAGGACCGCGCAUCUGCAAGGAUGCU